rnacentral:miRNA from 1 species
AAAACGUUCGUUCAGGUUUUUC